UACGAAGGGGGCUAGCGUUGCUUGGAAUCACUGGGCGUAAAGGGUGCGUAGGCGGGUUCUUAAGUCAGAGGUGAAAUCCUGGAGCUCAACUCCAGAACUGCCUUUGAUACUGAGAGUCUUGAGUAUGACAGAGGUGAGUGGAACUGCGAGUGUAGAGGUGAAAUUCGUAGAUAUUCGCAAGAACACCAGUGGCGAAGGCGGCUCACUGGGUCAUUACUGACGCUGAGGCACGAAAGCGUGGGGAGCAAACAGG
rnacentral:rRNA from 1 species